rnacentral:rRNA from 1 species
GUGUCAGCCGCCGCGGUAAUACGAAGGGGGCUAGCGUUGCUCGGAAUCACUGGGCGUAAAGGGCGCGUAGGCGGCCUUGUAAGUUGAGGGUGAAAGCCCGUGGCUCAACCACGGAAUUGCCUUCGAUACUGCUUGGCUUGAGUGUGGUAGAGGUUGGUGGAACUGCGAGUGUAGAGGUGAAAUUCGUAGAUAUUCGCAAGGACACCGGUGGCGAAGGCGGCCAACUGGACCAUCACUGACGCUGAGGCGCGAAAGCGUGGGGAGCAAACAGGAUUAGAAACCCCCGUAGUCC